rnacentral:lncRNA from 1 species
AAAACAACUGCUUAAUUCCCAACCACACAACAUAAAGAGAAACAAAAAGAUGGUCUAAACACAAGAACAACAGCAUGCCUUACCUUGAGACGUGAUGUUUCCAAUGGAAACAACCAGAAGUUAUUUUCUUCCCAAAUGCCUCUCAGCUGUCGGAAACGAACCCCUAUUGGCAGGGUCAAAGCUCUGCACACCCAAAAAAAAGGUAGCAGGUGUCACAGAAAACAAGGUAAUCCCGUGGAUAAUGGUGUGAAUGUGUUUACUGUGAGAGCGCGUGUGCUUGGAGGUUUGGUGGCCGCUUUGGAGGACAGCCACGCAGUAGUUUAUCUCCAACUCUGCGAAAAGAGCGCGAGGGGAAAAUCUGAGGUCAUACCUUCCCAGCACAGCAGAUGCUGGAGCGCUGGCCACGUGCUCCCUCCCGGGCAAACGCGCACAAGUUUCCAAGGUGAAAAGAGGAAGUGCAAUGAAUCAGUGAAUCUUUUAAAACAUUAAAUCAGAGCUAUUACCACUUUACGUCAAAAAUGCGUUUGUCAUUUUUGGUAGGAUGUGAAUCAAAAAACACCAGGCGCCGCGAUGCAGAACAUAGAAGUAGAUUAAAACUAAACACUGUGUCUGUGACGCAGUAAGAAUAAAUACAAAUUUAUGAAUUUUCAUUAAAUUUCGUUAUUAAUAAGUCACAGACCAACCUAAAAAAAAAACUGAAGCAAACUCUGCGCAUCUGUGUAUUGCUACCUGCCAAGAGGCCAGUGUCUCUCCUGGGUAUCUUAGCAACAGGCGCUUGUGGAAAAAGUACAGACAGCACGCACACACACACGCGCGCGCGCGCACAUGAGGAGGAAAAACACAGUUAGGAAAGCAGCAUGCUAUGCCACCAAUAAAAUAUUCUUAUCCCUGAGGUAUUACAAAAAAAAAAAAAAAAACGAAACCGACUAAAUAAAUACUUAUUACCUCCUAGGAGUUCUAAAANAAAAAANAAAAAAAAACCGGAAACGUAGGAGUUAGUACUGACAGGUGUAUCUUUCUGCCUGCAGGUUGCGUGGUAGUUUUUGUUCAAACGUCUAAACAACAGACAGUGUGCUUCUUUUAAGGUGGGAUCCUAAUUGUUUGAAUCUAUAAAUGCAAAUACAUGAAUCUCCAUGAACAUGAUUUUACCUUUAUGAUCAGGCCUAUCGAAUGGGGUGCAAUACAAUGUAGCCUACCAAAUUCGAUUUCAAACCAAAAUUCGAUUUCGAACCAAAGAUUCCUGUAUAGGUACAAUAGCACGGUUUUCAAGACUGAUAAUAAUUAGAAAAGUUUCUUGAGAUCCAAAUCAGCCUAUUAGAAUGAUUUCUGAAGGAUCAUGUGAAGACCGGAGUAAUGAUGCUAAAAAUUCAGUCUCGCCAUCACAGCAAUAAAUUACAUUUUAAAAUAUAUUAAAAGUAAAAAACUAACCGUAAUAUUUCAUGUCAGUGCAGCUUUGGUGAGCAUAAGAAAUUUUGUUUCAAAACAUUAAAUAAUCUUACUACGUUUUUUUUUUUUUGCUUUUUUUUUUGUUGUUUGCAUUUCAAAGUAUUUUAGGUAUUGUAAAAACAAGUGAACACAAUAAAACCACACUGGAAUUGAUUAUGAAAGCAGACUUUAAAUGGAAAGUUAAAGAUUAUUGAUCUGAUAAAAGUAGAAAGUAAAUGAUGAAAUGUCAGCCUCUCGUUCCUCAGGUAAACCGGCUGUGGCAGCAAUCAAAUCCGUUAUUGACAGAAAAUACAAUUAGUUACACCCAGAUGGCCUUCAGCAGAAUAGAGUGCAUCCGUCAUGCCCUUCACACAAGACUUGCCACUUCAAUUUCUGACAUGUUCUACAGCAAACCGAGAAUAUCUUGCUUUCCAUUUUCCACUAAUGGAUGUUACAUUGUUUUAUUAUUAACCUUGAUCUGUAAGAUUAGAGUCAAAUAACAAUUUGAGAUUAAAUUAGUUAUCAUAAAGCAAGAAAGAAACUGAAUCAUGAAAUUGUUCUUUAUUACAGUUUUUUUUUUCAAAUUGCUAACAUCCUUUUGUCCAAUCUGUAGUCACAUUUUCAAAACACUAUACACAAUUAGCACAACAUCAGUCUGUUGUGACCAUACCUUAAACACAAUUCAUGUUGUUUUCACACAAUAUUCAGUAAAUUAACACGUUUCUAAAAUGCUUAAAUUUUAUUUUCACAUAAGCUUACCCCAUACUAAAAUUCACAGAUCUUUUUUACAAAUCCUUAAACACAACAUGACAGAAAUGAAGAAAUAAUGUUCCAAACUUUAAAUAUAGUGUAAAGCCUCUACUUCUGCAACAACAGCAACUGAAAAGUAUUGAAAAAAUAUCUCUAUAUAAAAUAUUGUAACAACUGAUAAGCAUUUUUAAGUAACAGAUCACUAAAAUAUUUAGAAAUAGCUGAUUUCAGUCUCAGUUGGAGGAAUAGUCAGGUUGAUGCUCUUUCAAUUACAUCAACAUAAGAGUAAAAAAGACCUCUUUGAAUUGGUUUUGUGGGUGCAGAACAACGCAAAGAAUCAGAGAGAGAAAAAAUAAUGCCUGGGAGAGGGAGAGGAAUAGUUAGAUCAGAAGAAGAUAGGUAAGGGAGAAGAAGAGGUAAGGGAGGGGUAAGAAUGUGUGCUGGACUGUGCAUUUUUAUGUUUGUUUGUUUUUCCCUCUUUCACGUGGAACCUAUGAAAGCUUAUUUCUGCCAUGGAAUAUAAAGGGUAAAGGGUAGUUGUGACUUUUUUUCAUCUAACAGUUCUGACUUUUAUUUCUUGCAGUUGUGAAUUUAUCUCACAAUUCUGAUAAAGUCUGAAUUGCAAGAUGUAAACUCGCAAUUCCAAGAGUAGAAGUCCAAAUUGUGAGAUAUCUGAUAAAGUCUGAAUUGCAAGAUGUAAACUCGCAAUUCCAAGAGUAGAAGUCCAAAUUGUGAGAUAAAAAGUUCACAAUUACCGUUUUUACUUUUUUUAUCCUGUGACAGAAACAAGCUUGCAUAGUAACCAAAGGCCAUGUAUGUUGUAAUUUUUGUUGAUCACUGGCAUCAGCUACCAUGGGGGCACCAUCCACAUCCAACCCCUACCCACUGGAGGGCAAUUUCAAUCAAGGUUCCAAUUGAAUUUCUGCAUAGAUGACGCUAUUUUUUCUAUUGUACAUUCUAUAAAGUAAUGACUCAUUCAGUUUUAGAUAGUAUUUUGCCAAGAAUGAACACAUUCAACACUUAAAAAUGUAAAAUGGGUUUCAGUUGAAGGUAACUAAAUUACAAAAACAAUGGAUACAUCAACAUAGAGUAAAAAAGACCUCUUUGAAUUGGUUUUGUGGGUGCUAGAACAACGCAAAGAAUCAGAGAGAGAAAAAAUAAUGCCUGGGAGAGGGAGAGGAAUAGUUAGAUCAGAAGAAGAUAGGUAAGGGAGAAGAAGAGGUAAGGGAGGGGUAAGAAUUGUGUGCUGGACUGUGCAUUUUUAUGUUGUUUGUUUUUCCCUCUUUCACGUGGAACCUAUGAAAGCUUUAUUUCUGCCAUGGAAUAUAAAGGGUAAAGGGUAGUUGUGACUUUUUUUUCAUCUAACAGUUCUGACUUUUAUUUCUUGCAGUUGUGAAUUUAUCUCACAAUUCUGAUAAAGUCUGAAUUGCAAGAUGUAAACUCGCAAUUCCAAGAGUAGAAGUCCAAAUUGUGAGAUAAAAGUUACACAAUUACCGUUUUUACUUUUUAUCCUGUGACAGAACAAGCUUGCAUAGUAACCAAGGCCAUGUAUGUUGUAAUUUUUGUUGAUCACUGGCAUCAGCUACCAUGGGGGCACCAUCCACAUCCAACCCCUACCCACUGGAGGGCAAUUUCAAUCAAGGUUCCAAUUG